GAAUCGUUGGAAUCUCGAUGAUUCACGAAAGAAGAUUGUGUUAGAGAAAGCAGCCAAGCAAUGGCGAGAUUUCAAGGGUAAGCUGACAAGGAAUUUUCUGCGAGCUGGAAAGGAUCCAUGUGAAGUUUAUCAUUUCAUCAGCCGGGAGCAAUGGGAAACAUACAAAAAUAGACGCGAAAGUGCUGAGUUUAAGGUAAAGAACAUGGAACUAUUACUAGCUUGUGUUUGGCACAACUUUUUUUUACUAUAUGUGUAUAUUAGCAAAGACUAUAUUGUGGCCACCUCUGUCCAGGAGAGUGCUUUCCAUUCUGUUGUGCUAGAAAUAUAUUAAAUCUGAUGAACUUGCUUCCUGGAUUUAUUUGGUCUUGUGUCAGCUUGUACACAUCCAAUAAUAAUUUCUGAUUAUCUAAUCUUUGUACAAAAAAUGUAUUGAAGUUCAGUAGGUACUUCAAUAGAUGUGAAUGAAAUAUAUUAUAUAAAUGUUAGUUUAAUAGAAUCAAAAUCUGAAUAAUAUAUAAAUAUAUUAUAGAUAUUAUAUAUUAUAUAGAUGUGAACUAAGUCAGAAACCUUAUGAACUCAAAUCUGAAUAAAUUAAAUUGACAGUACCUUGUUCAUUUUCUUCGACAAGCAAUUAGUGAGAAGGCAAAAGAAAGCCAGAAACAUAAUGAACAUGUGCAUUUUCUUGGACCAAGUGGAUAUAAAGCAAAACGGGCUAAGUGGUGCAUUGAGGACCCCAUAGCUAGUCUUGAAAACUCGGAAUCAAUUGACUCGUCAAUUUUAUCGAGUGAUCGAAGCAAUCGGAGUUAUGACUGGGUUAGAGCACGUACAAAAAAGAAGGAGGACGGCACUUAUUACAUCCCAAAUAGUCAGACAAAGGAAGUAUUUGGUAAAAUGGUAAAUUAUUUAAUUUUGCUCUUUAGUAAAUUGUGAUUACCCUUUUUAUGUACCAUGGACAUCAUUAUUUAGUAAACUGUUUGUUAAUAAUCUAACCCUUCAUGCAGGGAGAGUUGCAGAAGCAAGUUGCAGACGGAUCUUGGACACCACAGGGUCAUGAUGAUAUACUAUCACGGGCACUUGGACGUAAGGAGCAUGGAGGACGUGUUAGAGGUGUUGGAGGAGGAGCAAAAAUCAAAGAUGUCUUUGGAUCGGGAAAAAGCAAACAGAGUGGGGUCAUCUCGAUGGAUGAAUUGGGCACGAUCACACAAGAAAUCACCAAGAAAGUUCAAAAGGAGUGUGAUGAAAAGAUCGAGAUGAUGAACACAAAAAUUCAUGGGAUCUUUCAGCAUUUAAAACAGAUGGGUCUGUCACUUCCGGAUGAUAAUUUCAUGGAUGAUAUCAGAAACCCAAGUCCUGAUAUUGUUCGAAGCAGCUGCCAGUCAAUAGGAGGAGGAGAACAUAUAUCAGAGCUGAAGGUUUAACAAUUGUCUAGUGCUAUACUAGCUAUAAUUGUCUUCAUUUUCUUUAUUUAAUCUUCUAAUGCUUUUCUACUUGUAUGAAAAUGCAGACACCAACUCUUUGUCGGCUUUGUGUGGUAGAUAAGGUAAAAGGUAGAGUUGUUGUGGCUAGGGGCACUGUAUUUCCAUCGAACAAUGAAGGGGGAACAUGAUUCAUAAUAAUCCACUUACUGCUCAAAAUGUUAGAGUUUCAGUUGAUGAUGUUGUACCAGAAUUUCAACUGACUCCCCUUCCAGUGCCUUGUUCUGAUAAUGAAACGAUAGGAAAUGCUGAGGGUAGUUUUGUGCAGUGGCCUAAGGAGCUCGUGAUCUUAGGACAGGUAUAUAAUUUACAUUAAGGUACUGAAUUUUUUUUCACAUUCAAUUGCUUUUUGUUUUUGUGCUUCUAACUGUGAUUUCUUAGGAUCCCGUAUCGUUGGAGAAGAAAAAAGGUCAUGAAAAAACCCCAGAAAAUGUUGUCACAAAGCCUGAGAGUAAAGGUUCAGCGACUGAAAUGAAGAAAGGCCUGAGUGAUGAAAAUUCAACUCAGAAUUGUCGAUCUUUACGCUACUUGCUUGAGCAACCUGGUUCAAAAGGUGCAACCUUUACUUUUGAAGAUGGAACAAUUACCAUAUAUGUGACAUACGAAGAUGUUGAUCAAUUUUUGAAAAAGAGCUGGUUAAAUAUACCCAUCUUGGAAAUCUAUUCGAAGUAAGAGUAGUCCUUUUUAAGAAAAUGUGAUCUUGAAUUGUUUAUUACUAUGCAUGUUUAUUCUGAUAUAUAAUGCUGCAGGUACAUUGGGAAAUUGUGCAACGAGCUGAAUGAUGAUAAAUUUGCAUUUAUGUCACCAUCUAGACUAGUGAUAAAUCACAAGCGUGAAUAUAAACGUAUUGAUGAGGUCAUUCAGUAUAUGACAGAGUUUUUAGUUACAAACAAAGAUAAGCGUUUUAUCUUUACACCAUACAUCCAAGAGUAAGAACUGAAUAAAUUUAUUUGAGUAUUUUUAUUGACAUUAUAAUCUAUGUAUGUUUAUCAUUUACGUGUGCAUUGUUGUAGUGAUCAUUGGAUGUUGCUUCUAUUUUGUUUGGAUGAAAGUGUCAUUUACGUGUUUGAUUCGUUGAGAAGGGAGCGGGAUAUUCGGUUGACAACACCUGCACGAACGUAAGUCAUAUUUGAUUUUAAUUUCAAGAAGUAGAUUUUAUAAAAGAUGUGGAUUAUGUAACCUAUUCUUAUUGUACAGGGCAUAUAAACUGUAUGUAGCACAAGGUGGCAGAAAGAAUAACCGAAAGGAAUUUCUUUGGUGUCAUGCAGAUGUUCAGGUAGUUCCUGUAUUAAUAUGACUUUCUUUCCUGACAUGAUUCAUUUUGAUAGUAUCUUUUGUUUCUCUAUAUAGUGUCCUCAACAACAAGGAGGUACGGAGUGCGGUUUAUUUGUUAUGAGGUACAUGCAUGAAAUAUUCCUACUUUCUCAAAAAAAUCCUAAUACCAAUUGGAAAGAGGUAAGAACAAAAUAUAUAGUUAAUGAUUCUUUUGGGAAUAUUAAACUCAUUAUUUUGCCUAAAUAUGUUAUCAUCAUUUGCAUUUGUAAGGCCCUAGGCCCUGGUUCAAGAAGGUAUUUAAAGAAGGAACUCAAUGAGGUUCGAGAACUGUGGGCUGAGUUUUUUACAGUUGAAUGUCUAUAAUCAGGUUUGGAAACAACUUCUUCCAUUAAUUAAAUUAUUUUUUUCACUCCACUAUAUAAUCAGGUACAACAAAUUAUAUGUAUUUGUUUGUAAUCAUUGAACUCCUUGUUGAAUUGUUUUGUUUAUAUAUACAGUUAGUUGACAAACUGUAAUGGCCAAUACAAGCUUUUUAGUGCUAAGGACGAGAGCGAAGACUUCGAGGCAGCUGGCUUAUUACUGCACUGAUUUCAUAAUUUUUAGUGUUGACAUGUAAUUUCACUAGAAGAAUUAUGGGUUGUAAUACAUUUUAAUCUUAAUGUACAUUGAUUAAUUCUCACAUUUAAUUAAGUUUUUGUAAUUUAAGUUUAAUUAGUGCUAUAUAUUGACUUUGGGUA
rnacentral:lncRNA from 1 species